GACGAACGCUGGCGGUGUGCUUAACACAUGCAAGUCGAACGGUAAGGCCCUUUCGGGGGUACACGAGUGGCGAACGGGUGAGUAACACGUGAGUAACCUGCCCUCAUCUCUGGGAUAACAGUCGGAAACGGUUGCUAAUACUGGAUAUGAGCUUGCAAGGCAUCUUGUGGGUUGGAAAGAUUUUUUUGGUUGGGGAUGGACUCGCGGCCUAUCAGCUUGUUGGUGAGGUAGUGGCUCACCAAGGCUUCGACGGGUAGCCGGCCUGAGAGGGCGACCGGCCACAGUGGGACUGAGAUACGGCCCAAACUCCUACGGGAGGCAGCAGUGGGGAAUAUUGCACAAUGGACGGAAGUCUGAUGCAGCAACGCCGCGUGCGGGAUGACGGCCUUCGGGUUGUAAACCGCUUUCAAUUGUGACGAAGCUUUUUGUGACGGUAGCAGUAGAGGAAGCACCGGCUAACUACGUG
rnacentral:rRNA from 1 species